GAACCUAAGCACAUUCCCUAGUAGGUG
rnacentral:piRNA from 1 species